GAUCGUAGUCCCCAUCCCUGUCCAUGUCAGCAGGUUCGCUAUUCGAAGUCAACACCAGCAGCUGGAGCAGGCCCGACCCUGAGGGCCCAGCCAGGGUGGACACCACCGUGGAGAGGCCCUAACACUUGAGGGAACCCGUGUCAGACUCCACUCUUUAAAGCAGAACUCAGAGGCACCUCCCAGAUGUGGACAUCCCAAACAAAAUGAGAGUAUAUUCAUUAGACCAGCUUAAAGGGGGCUACAGCCACACCAGAAGAUACACUAAAUAUUUAUUAUACAACCCUACUUUGUACAUAGAUCUCUAUAUAGACUGGAUCUCAGCUGCAGUGUUUGGA
rnacentral:lncRNA from 1 species